CCACUUUUAAGUGUACAGAAGAACCAAAUCUUGAUUAGUUUUAGCCCCAGGGCUUGGCACAGUGACACUCAGCAAAUAGUUGUGAAAGGCAUGGAGGAGGAGGGAAGGGAGAAGGGUCUGCCCCUGUACCUGCAUGUUGACGCACCUGGUUGUCCAGCAAGUCUGCGUCAGGGAAGGACUUGGGGGCAGGAGGUGGCUUUACCCAGGGGUCUUUAGCUCUCUUGGUUGUGCCCUGCUUUCUGGAUUUGGGCUCAGGGCAAUCUCAUCUCUUCUUUUUUCUCCUGCUCACACCCUGCAAUGAUUAAUUUGAUGUGCCAACUUGGCUGGGCUUUAGUACCCAGAUAGUUGGUCAAACAUUAUUCUGGAUGUUUCUGGGAGGGUGUUUUGGGAUGAGGUUUAUAUUGAAAUCAGUGGGCUUUGAGUAAACGGAUGGCCCUCUGUAAUGUGGGUGGGCCUCAUCUGAUCAACUGAAGGCUGGAAUGGAAUCAAAGACUGAGCUUCCCUGAGUAAGAGGGAACUGUGCAGCAGACAGCUUUUGGACUGGAACUGCAGUAUAGGCUCUUCUCUGAGUCUUCAGCCUGCCUGGCCUACCCUGUAGAUUUUGGACUUGCCAGCCUCCGUAACUGCAUGAGCACAAGGCCCAAAUCUGCAAAUUCAGAUGCGAUAUUACCUUUCAACUGCACAAGCUGUACCACAAGGAUUUGAGAAGUUUAUUAUUGGACACAAAUCUGUCAGGAACUCCUCUGCUGUUAACUGACCA
rnacentral:lncRNA from 10 species